AGCUCCAGAAGCGUAUGCUAAAGUUGUUGCAGUUAAAAAGCUCGUAGUUGCAUUUCUGGUUUGGUUUUGACCGUGGGCUUGGAUGAAUUUCCUUGCUUUCUACGUGUCGAGCUAGCCAUCCUGCCGUGCGUUGGUCAAACUUCGCGCGGCUCGUUUACUGUAAACAAAAUAGAGUGUUCAAAGCAGGUCGUUAGGACCGGGAUAUUUCUUAUGGGAUAAUAAGAUAGGACUGGCGUGCUAUUUUGUUGGUUUGUACAUGUCAGUAAUGAUGAAUAGGGACAGUUGGGGGUAUUCGUAUUUAGCAGCUAGAGGUGAAAUUCUUGGAUUUGCGAAAGACGAACUACUGCGAAGGCAUUUACCAAGGAUGUUUUCAUUA
rnacentral:rRNA from 1 species